rnacentral:rRNA from 1 species
GAUGAACGCUGGCGGCGUGCUUAAUACAUGCAAGUAGAACGCUGAAGGUGGAGCUUGCUCUUCUGGAUGAGUUGCGAACGGGUGAGUAACGCGUAGGUAACCUGCCCGGUAGCGGGGGAUAACUAUUGGAAACGAUAGCUAAUACCGCAUGACAACAGUUAUUGCAUGAUAACUGUGCAAAAGGGGCAACUGCUCCACUACCAGAUGGACUUGCGUUGUAUUAGCUAGUUGGUGAGGUAACGGCUCACCAAGGCGACGAUACAUACCCGACCUGAGAGGGUGAGCAGCCUAGCUGAGACUGGGACACGGCCCAGAAUCCUGGGGGUGAGACAAGGAGGGAACCCUGGGGAAUAGAAGGAGGUCUGAACAAGCAACGCCGCGUGAGGGAGUAAGGUUGUCGGGUCGUGGAGGUCGGGUGUAAGGGAGGAACGUGUGUGAGAGUGGGAAGUUCAGACAGUGACGGUACCUUACCAGGAAGCAACGGCUAACUACGUG